GGAAGGUUAAGAGGACCGGUUAGUUCCUUCGGGAGCGAAGCUGAGAAUUUAAGCCCCAGUAAACGGCGGUGGUAACUAUAACCAUCCUAAGGUAGCGAAAUUCCUUGUCGGGUAAGUUCCGACCUGCACGAAUGGUGUAACGAUUUGGAUACUGUCUCAGCCAUGAGCUCGGUGAAAUUGUAGUAUCGGUGAAGAUGCCGAUUACCCGCUAUGGGACGAAAAGACCCCGUGCACCUUCACUACAACUUAGUAUUGACUUCGGAUAAACAAUGUGUAGGAUAGGUGGGAGACUUUGAAGC
rnacentral:rRNA from 1 species